AUUCCAUGAUGUAGACACUUUCUGAUCAAGUCUUUUAAUCUCUCUCAGGCUUCAUACAAUGAUUCAUUGUCUAGUUGAUAAAAAAUAUUGAUCUCCCCUCUCAGCUU